GUCUGGGUAGCUCAGCUGGUUAGAGCGCCGCAUUCAUAACGCGGAGGUCGGCGGUUCAAGUCCGCCCCUAGACACCA
rnacentral:tRNA from 1 species